AAAUGUCAGGUAAUUGGCAGACAGAUAGAAAGUUAAACUGUGUCCUCAGUGAAGAAAAUUAACCAGCAGCUGCCAGCAGGGACCCCAAGGUCAUGUGAAUGCCAGAAUCAAGCAAAGCCCAAUCAUUCAGAGGGGGUUCUCGGCUGAUAUUUCCCCUCCCUGGUCAUUUUCAGAUCUCUUAGGAACUGCCCUGAACUACUGCCAACAUGUGUUCAUUUCUAAAAAUUACAUAGAUUGUGAUUUAUUACCCAUCACACUACAAAAAUCCACUGCGAAUUAAAUCAGCCCUUUGUUGAAAUUGCUCCCCGGCAAUGCACAUCAUAUCAUCAUAAAUGACAUUGAAGUUAUAGUCUGCAGCCCUUGGCCUCAGCCGCUGAUAAGGCCCCACCAUGGGACGAUCAAUACUUACUAUUCAUUUUUGAAAUUAUCUCCACAUUGAUCCCUGAACAAGCGCCAGCAACACAGAGGCACAGUGCCUUUAAUACAAUAAUUAUAUAAAGGUUUACAGGCUCAUCCUCCCAGCCAAUAAAAGCUGUCAACUGGCAGGGACAGUUACAAUCCUAUAAUCCAUCAAAACGCUGUUCUCUGACCUAUGGGCUUCUGGGCUUUCAGGAGACCACGAUAAACAUGCUCGUGCCGGAGAGGAGAGCCGCACAGACCUGCUAAACAAAGGCUGCAGAUGGAUGCCACCGAUUAACCAAAAAUCCUCCAAGUAGCCCGGUGUACUAUUUUCUGUUAAUGAAGGAAACAAUGAAGGAUUGUCUAUUUGCUAAUUGUCAUUUACUCAGAAGGAGUGCAGCUAGCCACUUUGCUGUUUUAUUUUUUGGUCUUUAAUUGAUCAGGUUUGACUUUGAACCAGAUGAUAUAUGGUAAUGAAGUAAGCCCAUAGAAAUCAUGGUGCAGACAGGUAUCUUAGGAGAGGAACGAGUGAGUAUCUGAGACCAGGGAAGGGAGACGAUCAAUGGGCAGGGCAAAUAGUGUCAGUGCUCACAAACAGGCACACAUGCGCAAUGCACAUGUCCCCACACCCAAAUAUUCAUGCACACACACAUACACAGGCACUCACAACACACACACAAAUGCACCCACAAAAACAUACGUACAUAUAUGCACAAACAUAUAAACCUGCACAUGCAAACACAUAAGCACAUACACAUGCAGCACACACACAUACAUGCAAUACACAUACAUCUACACAUGUGCACAUGUAAACACACAAUACACAAGUACUCACAUACACACAGAUGUAGACACAUGCCCCGCACAAGACACACACAAAAUACAUACAUGACACACACACAUGUUCACAUGCAACACAUCCAUGCGCACACAUGCACACAAACACACAUACACAUCUCUACACAGAGACACACACCCACACACAACUAUGCACACAGAAACACAAGCACACACAGACACAGGUACAUGCAUAUACACACACUCAAACACAUCCCCCACAGGCACACACAAACAAACACACCCCUACACACCCAUACAGACAUAUACCACACAGAAUGAUAGUAACAAGCCUUCCUGCUCCAGUUUCAUUGGAUAUUGUGCAUUCACUAAAGAAGUCUUGCAGCUUGUCCAUGCCUGGUGUUUGUAUUACCGUUAAUAUACCACACAGUCAUUUACUGAAUCCGUUUAAUGUGCCCUUGAAUUAAAUCUUGCUUAGGAAAAUAUUAAUAGGCUGAAAAAAGUUAACUGAAAAUCCUUUGCAUUUUCUAUUCAUUUUUAACUGUUUUCAAUUAUGAUUAGAAAAACACAUUUAUUGUAGGAGUAUGGCGGGGGUGCUGGAGGGAGAGGCACAUUCCAUGAGGGUGUAGGGCCCAGAUGGCGGACUUCCUCUCCCAGCUGAGCAGUGAGGGGGCAGUCACCCCAAGUGCUCCGGGGGUGGGGAGGGAUGAGCAGAGGCUGGUGUGGGACGGCCAUGGAGCUUCGUGCAUGCACAGAUUUAGGGUGCGUAGGUGCUGAAGAAACACAGCUUCGAUUUCAACAUGGGCUCAGGUCUCAGUGACUUGAACUCUUAUCUUAGUCCGAAGCCUGCCUUUCAGGUCUCCACUCGAAUUCCUCUGCUGCCUGAGGAUUUGGCCAAUCUGUUUCAGAGGGGAUGUGCAUCUCAGUAGUGUCAAACAUGACAAGCUACUAACUUUUUAAAGAAUUCUGGGAAAUUUGUUCAUCUUUUAAAAUUGUUAAUGUCAAAAUACUCAGGAGAAAUGAUCCCUUGGUAUGAAGGGAGCGGGCUCGUGUUAUUUUUGUUGGAGUAAAUAUUUCUACUUUCUGAGUGAUUGAAUAAGAUUUUAGAUAAGAUUUGAGAAAACUUGACAGACCAGGUUUAUCUACUGUGGGCUAGAACAAGCAAAUUGCAGGGCUACACAUGGUGGGCAGAAAAUGUGAAAUCAUAGCAAUGCAAUGAAUGCAGAAAUUCUUAAAAAAUAUAUGAGAUUUGGAGGGUUACUAAAAUUUAUGUUAGGCCUUGAUAUCUUCUGAUAGAUGAAUUUUUAAACUAUUGCUUUAAAGUUACAUUGCAUGUCAAUUACAAGAAUGCACUGGAGAUAGAAAAAUCAGUAAAGCAUGAGCCCCACUUUCAAAGCGCCCACAGUUGAGAGGGGACAGCUGAGAUAUGAGGGGCACCCCAGAAGCAUAGUGUACACGUGGCCACCACAGUGACGAGCAAACCCAGCUCCCAGAGGAAGGGGCACUGGGAGCCUUCUGAGGGAAACCAGGGUCUGGAGGGCACCAUCCCAGCAUCCCGAGAAGCGGCUGUCCCACAGAGCGUCCUUCCACCCACCCGGCAAGCUUUCCUGGGUCUGUGCAUGCUCUCUCUGCCAGAGGACCUCAGUGAGCAACUGAAGACAAGUGGAGAGAAUGGGGAAAAUGCAGAGGGAGUCACAGCGGACAGUCCUGCAUCCUAACAGAGCAUUUGGUGGCACGGACGGUGGCAACUUUGUGUUUCAAACCGAAGUGAAUGUCUCAGUGUUGGCUCCUGCAGGCUUCUCUAAGGCAUAGCACCAGAUGUUGUCUGCAGGGGUUCAAAGUUAGCCCACAGGGAGGUUGCUGAUUCUGGCCCACGUCUCACCUGCCCCUGGCUCUUCCAGUGCCAGCUUUGGGCUGCAGACUCAGCACACGCCCAUAACCAACUGUCCUGCUUGGACACCACUGCAAGAGGGUGGACUCUCCCCUAUGGUGGCAGCACCAGGCAACAGCUGCGGAAAAGUCGCUCUAGGAAGGCAUGGGAAUGCCAAGAGCUCCUGACCAGGAUCCUUCACUGUGACAAAGACCCAGACGUCUAUCCUGCCCUUCCUUACAAACGUCUACAAAUGAUCAAAACACACUUAAAACUCUAAGGGAAAAUGUAAAACAAAAGAAGCUUGUUACUUCCCAGAAAAGGAAAGUAUGUAAUUGAAUUGUGAAUCGGGAAUUUAUAAUGAAGGCAAAAAUCUAUUUUAAAAUUCUCUCCCUAAAGCCUCUAUUUAGAAGUGAUCGUGCUCUCUUGAGAUGUGCAUUUCAUAUGAGGAAUCCCACUAACCAGGACUCUGUCCACGCUUCUAGAGGAAAGUUUGAAGCUUCUAUAAGCAUAAAACCUUGAACUGAGUCACUGGGAACCUGUGAGAGGCUUCUGCAGGCACACGGCAGCCUCCACGAUGUUCUCUCCUCAUUCACGUCUGCCUGCUGCACACCCCAAUUCUCAUGCACACUGCCAUUCUGGUCUCCUCCCUGCUAACGGAAUUCCGUGGUAAAAAGCAUGAGGCGACUCAGAAGGAGCAUGAGCAGAGAUGACCCUAAUAGUUGGUGCCAACACAGUUUCUCUGAGAAGUUGAAAUCGAGGACUGGUGCCCACUGAGGAGGUCUGAGGAGAGGAGGACUCAGAGCAGCCAGUGGACAUUUUCCUCAUGUGAUUAGACAAAAAGAAUGAGGCUGUGGUGUGCAUUUCUGAGAGAAAUAUGGAGCAGCUCUGACAGAGGAGGGCUCGGGCUUUGCGUGAAGAAUUUAACGAUGGUGACUCUCCAUGAAGGCGCCAAAUCGCUAACAGAAGCAGAUACUUUCUUAAGUCUACUUGUCCUUCUCCAUCAGUGUUCUGAGACGUGUAAUUAUUGUAUUAAAUGUGUAUGUUUAGCUACUUCUAUCCUAAAAUGGCUCUUGAGCAUAAAAGAAUUGCACUUCAAAAAAUGAAAAGCUUUAUAGAGCCAUUUACUAUAUCAAGUGUGUUAUUCUUUGUUUAUUUCCAAAUAAACUACCAUUCAAGCAAUGGCUUUUCAAGA